ACUUUACCGAAAGAACCAAAGAGUAACGUGAGCUAUAUGUAUAUACACACACGCACACACACGAGUCUCUUCAUAUACCGUGUGCACACUGGCCCAUGGAAGCAAGCACACGCGCGCGUGUGCGUCGCAGAUAUAAAACGUUGGGAGAGAGAAACGAUGGGGACCGCGUUGAGACAGAAUGUGCGAUAGCCCCACUUUCCGCCACGUGCCCGAACGACCCCGAGACAGCAACACGUGCCUUCACGUCCACAGUGCUCCCUCUGUGAUAUCUCCGUCAUCGGCAACGAUGUUCACCGUCAAAUGCAUCAUCUCGAAGAAGUUCAUGAAUCUGAGGACCAACAAAGACAACUUCCUUUAUCUUCGCUUCACCUAACCUUGGAAAGUUUCCACGGAGGCUACAAGAUCACCUUCCAUGAAGAAGAAUGGGACAAGAUCCUUUUGACGGUCACAAAACAUGGAAACCCUAACAUUCCACUGGAGAUUCUACUGCUGCAGUCUGGAGCCCAACAGCUCUGCCUUACUCUUGGGUAGGUCCAAUCCCUGACAAGGUCUUUCAGUUCAGCUUGUGUUAUGAGAUGUGGUUCAGAGGAGGAGGAUGGGAGAAAAUCUGGGUCAUGUGACCUUGAUCGUUCAGGACCAGAAGUUUCAUCCUCUUCCUCGUCUGACUCAAGUGAGGAUGAUUCCGGUGCAUCAGGAACCGGCAAUCCUUGUCCAUGGGGUACCUGGCAUAUAGCUAAUGGAAUGUUUGGAUAAUGCACAGUCCACUUUGUCUUCUUUGACACACCUUUCCCAACUGGAGG